rnacentral:rRNA from 1 species
GACGAACGCUGGCGGCGUGCUUAACACAUGCAAGUCGAACGGAAAGGCCCUGCUUUCGUGGGGUGCCCGCGUGGCGCACGGGUGUGUAACACGUGAGUCACCUGCCCUUGACUGUGGGACAUCUUCAGGCAACUGGGGCUAAUACCUGCUAGGAGCUCCUGCUGCAUGGUGGGGGUUGGAACGUAUCGGCGGCUGGGGAUGGACUGGCGGCUUAUCAGCUUGCUGGUGGGGUAGUGGCUUACCAAGGCUUUGACGGGUAGCCGGCAUGAGAGGGUGAACGGGCACAUUGGGACUGAGAUACGGCCCAGACGCCUACGGGAGGCAGCAGGGGGGAAUAUGACACAAUGGGCGGAAGCCUGAGGCAGCGGCGCCGCGUGCGGGAUGACGGCCUUCGUGUUGGAAACCGCUUUAGCCUGUGACGAAGCGUGAGUGACGGUAAUGGGUAAAGAAGCACCGGCUAACUACGUG